CCUACGGGGGGCAGCAGUGAGGAAUAUUGGUCAAUGGACGAGAGUCUGAACCAGCCAAGUAGCGUGAAGGAUGACUGCCCUAUGGGUUGUAAACUUCUUUUAUAUGGGAAUAAAAUGUUCCACGUGUGGGAUUUUGUAUGUACCAUAUGAAUAAGGAUCGGCUAACUCCGUGCCAGCAGCCGCGGUAAUGCGGAGGAUCCGAGCGUUAUCCGGAUUUAUUGGGUUUAAAGGGAGCGUAGGUGGAUUGUUAAGUCAGUUGUGAAAGUUUGCGGCUCAACCGUAAAAUUGCAGUUGAAACUGGCAGUCUUGAGUACAGUAGAGGUGGGCGGAAUUCGUGGUGUAGCGGUGAAAUGCUUAGAUAUCACGAAGAACUCCGAUUGCGAAGGCAGUUCACUGGACUGCAACUGACACUGAGGCUCGAAAGUGUGGGUAUCAAACAGGAUUAGAUACCCGAGUAGUC
rnacentral:rRNA from 1 species